UGGGGCGCUUACCAUGCAGUCGCACGAAGGUUUCGGCCUUAGUGGCGGACGGGUGAGUAACGCGUAGGAAUCUAUCCAUGGGUGGGGGAUAACUCUGGGAAACUGGAGCUAAUACCGCAUGAUACCUGAGGGUCAAAGGCGUAAGUCGCCUGUGGAGGAGCCUGCGUUCGAUUAGCUUGUUGGUGGGGUAAUGGCCUACCAAGGCGAUGAUCGAUAGCUGGUCUGAGAGGAUGAUCAGCCACACUGGGACUGAGACACGGCCCAGACUCCUACGGGAGGCAGCAGUGGGGAAUAUUGGACAAUGGGGGCAACCCUGAUCCAGCAAUGCCGCGUGUGUGAAGAAGGUUUUCGGAUUGUAAAGCACUUUCGGCGGGGACGAUGAUGACGGUACCCGCAGAAGAAGCCCCGGCUAACUUCGUGCCAGCAGCCGCGGUAAUACGAAGGGGGCUAGCGUUGCUCGGAAUGACUGGGCGUAAAGGGCGUGUAGGCGGUUUGUACAGUCAGAUGUGAAAUCCCCGGGCUUAACCUGGGAGCUGCAUUUGAUACGUGCAGACUAGAGUGUGAGAGAGGGUUGUGGAAUUCCCAGUGUAGAGGUGAAAUUCGUAGAUAUUGGGGAAGAACACCGGUGGCGAAGGCGGCAACCUGGCUCAUGACUGACGCUGAGGCGCGAAAGCGUGGGGAGCAAACAGGAUUAGAUACCCUGGUAGUCCACGCUGUAAACGAUGUGUGCUGGAUGUUGGGCAACUUAGUUGUUCAGUGUCGUAGCUAACGCGAUAAGCACACCGCCCUGGGGGAGUACGGCCGCAAGGUUUGAAACUCAAAGGAAAUUGACGGGGGGGCCCCGCCACAAGCGGUGGAGGCAUGUGGAUUUAAUUCGAAAGCAACGCGCAGAACCUUACCAGGCUUGUAUGUUGUAGCUGUGUCCAGAGUAUGGGCAUUUCCCGCAAGGAACUUACAGCACAGUGCUGCAUGUCUGUCGUUCAGCUUCGUGUUCGGUGGAGAAAAU
rnacentral:rRNA from 1 species